rnacentral:lncRNA from 10 species
UUGAGACAGUCUCAUGCUUUCACCCAGGCUGGAGUGCAGUGGCAGGAUCACGGCUCACUGCAGCCUUGAUCUCUUGGGCUGAAGUAAUCCUUCCACCUCAGCCUCUUGAGGUAUAAAUAUUCCAGACUUACAGAAGAGGAAAUGAGAGUUCAGAUAAUUAGAUAACUUCUCCAAGCCAUACAGUUGGUAAGUGACCAAGCCAGGAUUUAAAGCUAGAUUUGUUGAUGCCAGUCGUGCACCUGUAGUCCCAGCUACUUGGGAGACUCAGGUGAGAGGAUCACUUGAGUCCACUGGAUGACAGAGCGAGACCUUGUCUCUAAAUAAAUAAAUCCAGAUCUGUUGGCCUUUCAAAUCCAGGUUUUUAACCCCUAAGCUUUUCUGACUCUGAAUUAUCGAAGUGUGAACUUUUUCUUCUAUAUCAUGGGAGAACCAAAUCCCAUUGCUCCUUCUGCCCAGUCUUGGAAACUCCAUUGUCAGAUGGGUCCCAAACUGUAUGGCAGGGGGACUGGGAUUACCCAGACAGGCUGGGAGAGAUCAGCUAUCAAUCUCUCUGGAAUGUCCAGAGGUGGGCAUGGGGAAAGUCCCACCUUCAGGAAAAGCCGACCUCCCCCUUUUUUGGGCCUUCUUGUACCCAAUACAUACUUCUAGCUCGGAAGUGUCUUCACUGCCUUCUAUUUAAAAUGUCGAUCUUCUUAAUAGAAAGUGAAUUUCUUGAGGGAAGAAAACGUAACUUAUCCAUCUGUAUUCCUCAGCUGCUACACUGCCCGACUGCCUGGUACCAGUAGAGACUACAUAAUUGACUGAUGGAAGAAUGAAAGAAUGAAGGAAGGAAGGAAGGAAGGAAGGAAUGGAAAUCCGAUGAUUAGGCAGAGGUCCAAUGUAUGUCAGAGUAGAGUAAAUCUUUAAAGCUCAUUACAAAAAAGGAGGUCCUAUUUGGGAAGUAGAAUCCCAAAUGACAUAGGGAAUUUGGGAGCAGAAGAGCCAAGGAGCUAUCAUAUUAUAUACACAAAACCAUACAGUACAUACUCUUUUGUUGUCUGGCUUCUUUUGCUCUGCAUGAUGAUUUUAAGAUUCACGCAUGUUAUUGUUGGAAUGAGAUUUGAACU